AAACAUGACGGCUACAAUUUGCAGAGUAAUUAAGAGGCUGAUGUUGCGUAUACUUGACGAAAGCACUUGCAGGUGCUUGGACGGUUGGCAUCCCAAAUUGUUGUGAGCUUCAAGGUAAUGACAAGCCAAUCUAUGCACCUCCAGUGGAAAAUGGAGA